ACCGCAAGCUACUUCAUCGCUCCAUUCCCAUUGAGGAAUGGUGAGGAAAGUCCGGACAACGUAGAGCACCACACCACCUAACGGGUGGGUCCCGGGCAAUCGGGAACAGAGAGUGUCACAGAAAAUAACCGCCCCGAAUAUUCGGGGUAAGGGUGAAAACGUGCGGUAAGAGCGCACGGCGCUCCCGGGCAACCGGGAGGGCGGACAAACCUUGUGGGUUGAGAUGCCACAUACAUCAGGAUCCUCCCCAAAUGCCAUCAGGCAGGAGGCAGGAGGGCCGGGUUGCUCGCCCGGUUCGAGCCACUGGCGAAAGUCCUGAGGGGUAGGCAGAUAGACCCCGCCGGUGACGACGGGGCCAGAUAAAUGAUGAAGAUCGCUCCCACAGAGCGAUUACAGAAUCCGGCUUAUUGGCUUGCGGUGCUU
rnacentral:RNase_P_RNA from 1 species